ACAUUAAAGUCGUAAAAAUCUUACCCUCCCGCUUUGGCGGGAAAUCUAUUAAACACGACGUGUUUUGUGCGGGAAAUUUUCCAGAAAGAACAGAGGGCGUAUUGCGCUGGAAGGAAAUUGGAGGAGGCUACGCGAUUCUGCUUGCUAUCACAGGAUUCAGAUUCAUACCUCGAACGCCGAGUGCUUCCAUUCCGGAGUUACGAAUUCGGAUACAUACCUUGAACGCUGAGUGGUUCCAUUCCAGAGGGAUUCUGCUUUACGGUUCAUCCCAUUUUCCUUAUUAUUGUUAGUUUUGUAUAGAAACCCUAACUCUGAAUCCUCUAUAUUUUCUAAGUUAAGGUUUCAAGUUCGGUGCAGGUUCAUGGUGGCCCUUGCUCGGUGUAGGAAAAUGUUGAUUAACUUGGGUUAGGAACCUCUACUUGCUAUUUUACCUCCUUGUUCCCCUAGUUGUUUUAUUAUUUUAUCCUUCAGACGCCUGUUUUGGGUUCGAAUUACUAUCUUGAAUCAUUUGGGUUGAAAUCUUUACUCUGCUUUUGAAAUGAUGUUGCGCCAUCGAAAUUGAGUUUGAAGAAAACUCAGUUGUGACGUAACCAGCUUUUGUAAAAAGAAAUGAAAAACUUGGUUUUCUUUAUGCUAAUCAAAAAAUUAAAGUUUGAAUGUGUCAUCCCAACAAAAAAAAGUUUUUUAAAACUCAUUAAAAACUAAUUUUCAUAAAACCUAAUUUGUUUACCUAUAAGGUGUCGUCUUAAGUACCAUCAAAGCCUGCUACACUGUUUUGCUAAUUUAUAAGUACAGAAAAAAUAGAAAGAAAAAGGAAUUAUCAUUUAAUGACACCUAUCCGUUACACCAGAGAAAAACAAAAUCUUCUGACGACCCGGCCUUCUCUUUACUGCCAUUUUUGUGCGUGCUUUAAAAAAAAAAUGGUUCAAAAUCUUAUUUUUUUUAAAUAUAUACACGUAGCGCCCAAGCAGAGGAGGAACACCAUUGAUUCCAAGGGAUAUUUUUGGAGAAACAGAAGUGACUUAUUUCUUUUAUUCAUUAAAUUUUAAAUAAAAUAAAAAGAUCACUAGAUGUAGGUUCAUUAAAAAUAGGUUUAGUUUCCAUUAGAGGCAAAGCAGACUGAGGCGUCCAAAUGAGAUGGAAAGCCAAAAGCUACAAGGUUAUCUUUCCAGUUCAUCAAUUCAGCAGGAUAGCUACAACUCAGCGUCUUUAUAUAACAGUCAAAUCUUCUUCGGCCUACGUUCGUGAAUCCCACUACAGCGAGAGACCCUCAAACUGGACUCAAGUGGAAGCUCAAGCUUAGAAAUUGAAGCUUGAGAUAAGCUGCCGUGAGCGGAGGAUCGGCCGAAACACUGUUUUGUUGCUGAGACCGAUACUGACAACACAGGUUCAUCACGAUGCUUGUCAGAAUACAGUGAUCAUUGGCACCAAGCAACACAAGUGGCUCCUGCAAUAUACGAGAGAAUGAUGAGGUGAGAUAGGAGUUCAGUAAAUUUGCACCAUCGCAGAAUUUACCCUUCUCUAGCAAACUAAGAGUCCCUGAAGGGGAGCAUCUCUCCACGCAUUGCUCCAAUGUAGACCCCGACAUAUGGUUCACGAGGGCCCUUUCAUGGGAUCUGCAGAGAAGUUGAGGAUGACUUCUCCUGUUUGAAGGGAUGAUGAACUUCAUGGAAUCCCACCCAAAGUAAACAAUGUCCCACCCAUCAAACACACCCUGGUUGGUCUGGAUGCGUUGGAACCACGGACUACAAGCAAAAAUCUCAGCAGAAGUAGAUGAUACGUCUGCAAAUGGCAAAGCUGACCCGGUCAGGCAACCGGCAGCACAUAUCAACAAUGGUGAAACUAAAGUGAAGUUGAAUAUCU